rnacentral:misc_RNA from 1 species
GUCGUAACAAGGUUUCCGUAGGUGAACCUGCGGAAGGAUCAUUACCACACACAACAAUGGAUGGCUAGACCACAAGGGUCCCUGCGCGCAGCGCUCAGUCUACCUCUUGGUCGCCAUUCACUCAACACCGGUUAACUGUUUACCCUAUAGCGCUGUGAUGCCUGCGCUGGCCAUCGGUUGGCUGAAGUCGGCAUCAAACCCCUUUUUUUCAACUCAAUACUAAUCAUUACUCUGAAACAUAAGAGAGGGUGCUGAGGCUCGCUUUGCGUGACUCUGGCCCCUCUCAGAAACUAGUUGUAAUACUGUACAACUUUCAGCAACGGAUAUCUUGGCUCCCA